rnacentral:rRNA from 1 species
UACGGGGGGAGCAAGCGUUGUUCGGAUUUACUGGGCGUAAAGGGCGCGUAGGCGGCGUGACAAGUCACUUGUGAAAUCCGCCGGUUAACUCGGAACGGUCAAGUGAUACUGUCGGACUAGAGUACAGAAGGGGCAACUGGAAUUCUCGGUGUAGCGGUGAAAUUCGUAGAUAUCGGGAGGAACACCAGUGGCGAAGGCGGCGAUCUGGGAAGAUACUGACGCUGAGGUGCGAAAGCGUGGGGAGCAAACAGG